UCACCCAAGUAAACAGCCCUGAAAAGGCUUUCUUUUUUUCAUUUUUAAUUGUGCAUUUCUUCAGCGGUCCUCAUGGCAAAGUGGAGUGAUUCCCGCCCUUUAGAAAGGGAGGAAGAAAAGCAGCGCAGGAGGAUGGCUCGCGGGAUCUGCAGAGAUAGGUGCACAGCCUCAGCCGGGCAUGUUUACGGGGAAGGGAGCUGCAGCCUGACAGUGCGAAUCUUCUACUUUCCUGGAAAAGGACGUCAGUCUUUUCUGUCCCUUGAUUAGGCUUCCAGCCACAGGGUGCCCCCCACCUGACAAGGGGCCCGGAGCACCCGCAGACGCUGGGCUGUGAGCCGCUGCUCAGCCCAAGCAGGACACAGCCUGAAUGCGAAAUGUCGUCAGAGCCGGUCCUGCAGUACUGCUCCUCUUUGAAUAACAAAAACACAUCACUGGGAGAGAAGCUGUGAGAUGGGAUUGCAGACCCACAGGUGAUCGAUCCACAGGCAGCUGGGACCCAGCCCAGUGUGUGCACCAGGAGUCUGACACCACAGACCCACAGUGGCAGAGACUGAAGAACAGACUAUAAAAACUGCACCGAGGAAGUGAUUCCCUCCUUAUGGCUGUCAAAUUAGCACCACCCACCCGUGGUUGGCUGCGGAGUGCUGUGAUCCCGCGCGGGCUGGUGGUGGGACACCACAUGCGAGCCAUGCAUUGAGUCAAGGCCCUGCGGUCACCUCAGCACAGCCUACAAGGAAGUGUGCAGCCCUCCGGAUGUGGCAGCCCAGCCUCCUGCAGCCCCAACCCUGAGCUUGCAGUGGUCAAGUGUGCAGCUCCCAGUGACACCUGCCAGCCAUGUGUCUCCAGAACCUGAACUCAUGUCCUCCACGUCCUGCUAUGGGUCCCGUCAGCACACCAAUGACAUGCAGAGCCCAACUCCCCAGCUGCCAUCUCCGCCUCCAGUCGGGGCCCAGGGCAGCAUCCACACAGUCUGCCUGCACCCUGGUGCUACGGUCCCCUGCAUCCUACCUGGGUGAGGCAAGAUUGGUGAUCCUUGGUGAGCUCUGCACCUUGAAGAUGCUGAGACCUCCCUGUUCCACAGUGGAGACUGCUGGGUGCCUCAAAGGCGUCAUAGUGCAGAGCAAAGUUAGCUCUAAGGGCUCAACCAACAGAGGGGAAACCCCAGCCAGGCAGGGUGGUGGGGCAGUGUUCAAGGACCUGGGCUGGGAAGGACCCCCCAGGCACUGGGCCCAUCCUGAGGCACUGUGGCAGAGGGAUGCCAGGGGCAGGGCAGGGGCAGGGGUAGAAGAUCGAGCUAUGGCCUCCCAGUAUCCCCGGCAGUGUUUGACUUUCCAGUUUACUGCUGUGAGUCUCCACUGCUUCCCCUCCGGAACUGCCUUUCUUCCCAAAAAACGAGGCCUGGACUCAGCAUCAGGGCCACAGGCGGGAAAAGCCUUCCCAGAGGCCAUAGGGAGCAAGAAACUCCCUGGAAGGGCCAGGCUUGCACUGUCCCCAAGGCAACCUGGAGACAAGGAAGCUGCCUCAGAUGCACCCCACCAAGGAGGCUUCCAGGGUGACAAUAGCCACUCAGGACACCUGACAUUUUGUGGGCCCGGGCUAUCCAUAAAGAGUGGCUAAGGACAGAGAUUAAAAGCACACUGAGUUGGAGCAAACCACCUAACACACAUUGAGGGUCUGCUCACACCAUGCAGAGGAGCAGCUGUCAGGAACAAGCAUCCUGAGACAUGCUGCUCUUCUCUCUGGGGUUCCAAGUGACCCCAUAGUAUGAGGGGACAGAGAUGUCUGUGCCCCUCCAGAUGCCAACACAAACAUCAGGCCCAGAGUAGGGCCCAGGCCAGACACUGCCCUUUCUCCCAACGCAUGUGGCCUCCGCCCUUCUCAGAGCCCUAGUGACCACGCCCAGAGGCCUCCUUAGUUCCUGGCCAACCGCCCUGCCUGGAUCCGACCCAGAUCAGCACCCUGCUGAAGCUCCAUGUGGAUUACAAAUUGCAGCGGUCAGAGUGGGGGAGACAGAUCCAAUUUCAGAGCUUCUCCCACAGCUGGGAUGAACCACCGGGCCUGGGCCACUGUGUCCCCUGACAGAGUAUUAUAGAGGAGAAAUUUCAAAUGUCAGUGUGCAAAUACCACACCCCCGCCUGCAUGCUCCUCACACGUGGAGUCCCUGGAGCAGCCCAGGCCCGCCUCACCCUGCACCAGCCGGAAGGACAGCCCAGCCCGUGUGCUGAGGAUGGAGGUUUGAGAAGUCUGGUGGCUGUAUGAAUGGCACAGACCAAGCAUUCUUUAAAGUAUAAAGGAAAAUGAAGGAGCUGGUGUCUUCGGCCUCCCUUCUGUUUUGCAGUGGGAAUUCAUGCGUGAGGUGAUUCAAAGCUGCCAGUUCCAGAGUCCUCAGAGGAAGAGCAAACUUGCUCUGUCCAGUGCCCAGAGCUGGGCUCUGUUCUGGAGCAUUUAUAGGGGUUUCUAGCAGCAUUUCUCAGACAAUAGUCCUAUCUAACUACACUAGUCAGGGAGAAAACC